CCUGUGUUACGGAGCAGUUGGCACCCAGUUCAUAAAGGGUGGGAAGCAGAGAGGUCAGCCCUGCUUUCCAGUUGCUCCUGCUGCAAUGUAUGUUGUGUGCUGGGCUGUGGAAGUUGUAUGAUGGCCCAGACUUUUCUUCUUGCUGCAUUAGAGAUUGAAAGCAGUGCAUAUGUUACAGGAGAGUAUCUACAAUCUAGAUCUGAGCUGCUGCCCUACCCGAAGGUGGUCUGUGCAUGCAGGUAAAUGAGACCCAUCUCCAGACCUAUGGACCUGGAUCUGGAACUGUGAAAACAUUUUAGACUUUAGAGUGAGGAACUGCAAGCCUAAAAUGGGAGGGGGAGCGAGCAGUGGAACCCACGUGUGCUGCAGCGAGGCUGGUUGGAUGUUGCUGCUGUUGUUGAAGCAAUGUGGGAGAGAACUGCUUUUCAGAAGAUUUCUUACACUCUAAGAGGAUGGAGGCAGGUGCAGCACAGUUACUCUCCCAGGAUCAGGCCCUGAGGGGAUGCCAAGAAGAGAAAUGCUUGAAAGCAACAUAUGGAAAUUGAACACGAAGUAAAAGCUCGAGUGGAGAUAGGUGGGUUCAGGAGCUGUCUUCAGGAGAGGGAGCCAAGGCUACGCAGUGGGAAGUGUGUAGAAAAUGAAAGUAUGUAGAAACUGAAAGGUAUUCAGCAGCAGUCAUGUCAGCAUAAUGCGUGCAGUCAUUUCCUCCUGACGAGUGUAUGCAGCACAUCACAGAGCUGGGGCUGUUGUCAGGAGCAGGCAAAGGCAAGGAAAGGCACACAUGUGUGCAUGUCAUGGACAGCAGCGACGCGAGGGAUGAGGCACGCGUGGGGAGAAGCCACUGAGCAGAAGGCUACAAAAGAUGAAAGGGCUUUCAAGAAGGGCUGGUAUUUUUGUGAUAAAACUGACCAGUUGUUCAUAAUUAAAAAUAUGUUUCCCCAAGGUCACUUGAACUUUUUUGCCAGGAUCACAAAGCUGUUCCAAUCUCCAGUGGUGUUCAAGCUUGAAUUAAAUGUCUGCUGACAUCUGCCAGGCCCAGAGCAUUUGCUGUGACACAGGAGGGGUGUGAUUUACUUAAGCAUCAUGGACUCGUUCAAGCCUUUUUGCUUUCCUGCAGGUGGGAGUUAAUUGUCAUCCCUGUUGGGUUACAUCUCCUGGCACCCUUUGUGCCUGUUGUGUUACUCUCUCUGGAGUGGAUGGCUGUGGAGUGCAGUGUCACUCACCUCUGUGCUUAUUCUUCAUGGCAAGGGUUAAAACCUGGAGAGGCUGUCACGGGUCUCCCUGGUUAAAGGGGCAGCUGGAGUCACCACCACACCUGGGCUGUGGUUUCUUGACAUUUCCCUGGACAUUGAUUCCCCAUUGCUUAUUGGGAGAGGGGGGAGACUGAGAGAGACCACUUCAUUGUUUGUACCCAGUAUGUUUUUUGUGAGCACAUUGUCAGGAUAGGCAAUUGUCUCUUUAUCCAAGUCCAAGGCAUAUCUGAGUCCAAGACAGCUGAUGACAUUAUAUUGGGCAUUCAUUUUAGAACUGCUGAGCCCACAGAAAUCAAUAGUUUUCCAUUAUCGGGUCCGGCUGGGUCACUAGUCUGUCAAUGAGCUGUUACAAUUGCUGUACAAGGGUGAACCUGACCAGUCAAUUGCUGCUGACAAAAGGAAAACACGCUGACAGCCACUGGAACAAGCCAGAACACAGAUUUGCACUUUGGUUUACCGUCUGAGAAGGCUGGGAGCGGGGCCUUUUCCAAGAUGUAGGGCACGCACUGUGGGAAAAGAGGCCCCUUUCCCCUCCCUGCCACAUGUCAGACAGGCCUUCCCUGCCCAGGGAAUCCAGGUUUGCUUCUGCAGUCCCAAACACCGCAGAACUCACUAAGUGGAGGUGAAGGUGCCAGCUUCCACAGCACUGUGUUUUUCCAGCCAGAAAGGGACGUGCUGAAGGGAGUGCUUCUGGCAGCCAGGCCAGAGGAGCAGCCUGCAGUGACCUCUGCUCAGGGGUGGCUCAGGGCUUCUUCUCCGUGGCACCUGCCUGUGCUACAGUGGGCAGGAAUGCAGAUGACAGGGUUAACUCCUUUUCCUCUCUAUGUUUUAGCACUGACUUCCUAUCAAAUUUGAGAGCAGAGCAAAAAUAAAUAUUUGGAAAUUAUCCCAAUAUUAUGAUUUUUAAUUUUCAACUUUAUUAACUUCUUUCAAGUGUUAAAUCCUGACCGUUUUAUUUAUGCCUGCGGUCGUCUGUUUGAUUCUCACAGAAGUCAAUAUUCACUUGUGCUCCAUCAUCAAACAAAAAACUGGUAAUCAACUUUAUCACUGGAAGCCAACUAGCUGGGUUUUAAAAAAUACACUACCCAAAAGAAAGAUCAUUUGCUUUAAAUGAGAGGAGAGGGAAGUCUUUUUAACAGAGAAGAGCAAACCUUCCUUUACUGGUAAUUAGAAGCACCAGUUUUAUAUGACUUGCAGCAUUUGGUAGCUCAAGCCGCGUCAGAUCUCUUACAGCAUUAAUUAAAAAGAAUUUAUGUUUUUUUAAUAAAAUGCUUCAUGUUUUAGCCCCUUUUCGUCCUCCUUCCAAAUGUGAUUACGGGGGCUGAAGGGAA